GUGCCAGCAGCCGCGGUUAAUACGUAGGUGGCGAGCGUUGUCCGGGAUUUACUGGGCGUAAAGAGUGCGUAGGCGGAUGUUUAAGUGAGAUGUGAAAUACCCGAGCUCAACUUGGGUGCUGCAUUUCAAACUGGGCAUCUAGAGUGCAGGAGAGGAAAGCGGAAUUCCUAGUGUAGCGGUGAAAUGCGUAGAGAUUAGGAAGAACACCAGUGGCGAAGGCGGCUUUCUGGACUGUAACUGACGCUGAGGCACGAAAGCGUGGGGAGCAAACAGGAUUAGAUACCCUGGUAGUCC
rnacentral:rRNA from 1 species